rnacentral:rRNA from 1 species
UACGUAGGGGCCUAGCGUUGUCCGGAUUUAUUGGGCGUAAAGAGCGUGUAGGCGGCUUGGCAAGUCCGCUGUGAAAACUCGAGGCUCAACCUCGAGACGUCGGUGGAAACUGCCUGGCUAGAGUCCGGAAGAGGAGAGUGGAAUUCCUGGUGUAGCGGUGAAAUGCGCAGAUAUCAGGAAGAACACCCGUGGCUAAGGCGGCUCUCUAGUACGGUACUGACGCUGAGACGCGAAAGCGUGGGGAGCGAACAGG